AGACGCUGGAUCCUUGACUCCCUCCGAUGGAGUGUGAAAGCGUUUUUACCAGAUAUGCAACUUCUCCUGUCCCACGGCUCCUGCCUGCUCCUUGUGAAGCUGUGAAGAAUCUCUUCAGCUUCAUGCGGGUUGGCUUGAGGGUCUGCUCCCCCUGCGACGUCGUGUGUGGUGUCCGCCUUGUCUGGUCUCGUACCGAUUAUGAUAAUUGCCUUUGCUGUUCUGUGGUCCGGGGUUUGACCCCCGGUUCCGUUCUCCGUCUUCCUUGACUUCCAACUUGUUGAGGAAGAUGAAGGCUUCCUUAAUGGUGCUUACAUUAGGGGGGUGGCCUGAGUUGGCGUCUGUAAGAUGUAACUAAUAUAAGCGCGGUGACAAAUGUGUCUCCUGCAGUGAAUAUGCCAAAAGUGGGCCGACAUAGUUCCUCUGUUCCUUGCCUUCGUCGUAUCGAUCCUGAUACAAAGCGCAUCUCGUCCGGGACUGUGUCUGAGGACUCCAUAGUAGCUGUUACGGCUUGUAUCUAGCGAUGAACCUUUGUUUAGCGUAACCAUCUGUAAGUGCCUUCAAGGCCAACGGAGGUCUGAGUGGUCUGACCAAAAUGGCUACCACAUUCCGCUCGUGGCAGUCCGCGACUUUAGGUGGUACCAGGCCAUUGAACACGUUGGUCAAGCCCCCGAUGUGUUUGGUCCGUCCCCAGGGCAGUUGUCUGCUUCAUGGCAUAGCCGAUCGAAAAGUUGGGGCUUGAAUAAUACCACGUAAACGAGGAACUAAGUUAGGCCCCGAACCUCGUCCAUGAUAGCAAGGCCUCCGUGCAGCAAUUGUAACAUUUUACAUUGCGCAGUCCGCCCAAUGGCUGAACGUAUUUAUGUUCCAACACGUCCACACGUAGCCCCCGGAACAAAACAGAGGCGAGUCUGAUUACAACAAAGCGAUACCUGCCACGUCUGAAAUUAAAUGUUGAUUUAAAGUUACGCGAGUGAAUGGAAGUUGUGCUCAAACUGGACGUUUAAACGCUUUAAAGGCGACUUUGCAGGAUUUUUAUGGCAGAGUGUUUUGUCCUAAUCCGGCAACAGAUAUUCCUCAGAUGUAAUAAAAUAUUCUUCACACUUACCUGCCACGGUGAUGAAACCUCAGAACGCAAACUUAUCAGAUUUUACUCACCAUGAACACCGCACAAGACUCCUUCAUAGACACUGUGCGCUGAACAGCACUCAGAGGGAGCCAGGCCAACCAACCCUAAAAGCAGGCGCAAGCAUCGUCCCUCCAACUUGUCGUAAGAAUUUGGUUCUCUGAGGUUUGGACCCACAGAGGGAGGGGCCUUUUCGGCUGAAGGCCACUGAGGUCCAUUGCUCUGCCCAAAAAGAGCUCCCCAGUUUUCCCUAUUCUCAGCUUCUCGUUUUAACUCCUGGAACUUCAUCUUCUUCCCAGUCCUCGCUUUCCUUCAACCUGGCCUUCGAUGUCCCAGCCAGUUGGCCUGAGGUACGGAAUGUGUUAUCGUCGCUCCUUGGUAGGCACUUGAAUCUUCUGAGGGGCGUUAACGGCGUGUAACUCCCGACAACUAGAAGCUUCCUUUAUUGCUGAAUAUAAUCUUUUCUUUUCACACUAUUUAUUUAUUUAAGAACAAUGCAGAUGAUCUCAGACUCACAGUGUAUUUGCUUGAGACUGCGUCGAAGGGUUUACUGACGAGCUGUUGUAAGCGUCUUGCCCCCUGGUUCGAAACAUUCCAAACCAGCGACGUAUUUACUUGCAUUCAGCUCUUUCAAAGUCUAUCUCUCUCUCUCUCACGCUGUUUAAUGCGUAUGGUCCAGCAACAUUGAACCAUAAAGUCUAAACUGACUUUCGACAUAUUGCAGCCAUAAAUAUCAAAGUGUGAACCAUGAGAGUUCAACCGAUUUUGCCGCUUAGUGUAAAAAAGAAGACUCCUGGGAACCGAAGGUCCUCGCACGUCCUUGUCCUGAAGAGUUUGGUGGUUGCCACCAGAAAAAGUUGAAUAAAAUUCAGGUUAAUUAAAUAAUAAUAAACUAAAUAGUUUGAUCAAAUUACCUCAGCAGAAGAUGUAAUUUGGACAGUUACAGUGUUGUAAUUGUGUUGAUCGUUGUAUCUACCUUAAUGUUAUCCUGUUUUACUUUAUUGCGAUUUACUUCUCGGGUGGAAUGUGCCUGAAGUAAAACUUGAUGUCCGUACCCUGAACGAGGUUUCAGGAGUGCAACUUUGCCCAACCCGUACGUGGUUACGUCUGGACAAAUAAUUGACAUGCGUUCGGCGUAUCCUUUAUCGUGUCCUGCGUCUUCCUCCGGUAUCUGGCCCAUUCUGUGGGCAACAGAUUUUUAUUCUGAAAGCGAAUGGCAACUGUUUCGCCGCACUUGCGAACGUU